rnacentral:rRNA from 1 species
CGAGCGGCCCGCAGGGCAGCGGCAAACGGGUGAGUAACACGUUGGUACCUUCCUCGAAUUCAGGGAUACCUCUGAGAAAUCAGAGUUAAUACCGGAUGGUCCCGAAAGGGUAAAGAUUUAUCGAUUCGAGAGGGGCCUGCGGCCUAUCAGCUAGUUGGUAAGGUAACGGCUUACCAAGGCGAUGACGGGUAGCUGGUCUGAGAGGAUGAUCAGCCACAGGGGAACUGAGACACGGUCCCCACUCCUACGGGAGGCAGCAGUAGGGAAUCUUCCACAAUGGACGAAAGUCUGAUGGAGCAACACUGCGUGAAGGAUGAAAGUCGUAAGAUUGUAAACUUCUUUUCUGAGGGAAAAAUUCUGAUUGUACCUCAGGAAUAAGCGACUGCUAACUACGUGCCAGCAGCAGCGGUAAUACGUAGGUCGCAAGCGUUAUCCGGAAUUAUUGGGCGUAAAGCGUCCGCAGGUGGCGAAUUAAGUUGGAUGUUAAAUAUCUUGGCCCAACCAAGAUGCCGCAUCCAAAACUGGUUUGCUUGAGAAGUGCAGAGGCAAGUGGAAUUCUGUGUGUAGGGGUAAAAUCCGUUGAUACACAGAGGAACACCAAAAGCGAAGGCAGCUUGCUGGGCACUUUCUGACACUCAUGGACGAAAGCGUAGGUAGCAAACAGGAUUAGAUACCCUGGUAGUCUACGCUGUAAACUUUGGAUACUAGGUGUUGGAGGACUCGAUCCUUCCAGCGCCGACGCUAACGCAUUAAGUAUCCCGCCUGGGAAGUACGGUCGCAAGACUAAAACUCAAAGGAAUAGACGGGGACCCACACAAGCGGUGGAGCACCUGGUUUAAUUCGAUAGUGAGCGAGGAACCUUACCUAGGCUUGACAUCCCGAGAAUCCGCCAGAAACGGUGGAGUGCCUUUUGGAACUCGGAGACAGGCGCUGCAUGGUUGUCGUCAGCUCGUGCCUUGAGGUGUUCGGUUAAGUCCGUAAACGAGCGCACCCCUGUGCUAUGUUGUAUUUUUC